rnacentral:rRNA from 1 species
CAAUAGCGUAUAUUAAAGUUGUUGCGGUUAAAAAGCUCGUAGUUGGAUUUCUGCUGAGAACGACCGGUCCGCCCUUUGGGUGUGUAUCUGGCUCUUUCUUGGCAUCUUCUUGGUGAACGUUGCUGCACUUGACUGUGUGGAGCGCUACCCAGGACUUUUACUUUGAGGAAAUUAGAGUGUUUCAAGCAGGCAUACGCCUUGAAUACAUUAGCAUGGAAUAAUAAGAUAGGACCUCGGUUCUAUUUUGUUGGUUUCUAGAGCUGAGGUAAUGAUUAAUAGGGAUAGUUGGGGGCAUUCGUAUUUCGUUGUCAGAGGUGAAAUUCUUGGAUUUACGAAAGACGAACUACUGCGAAAGCAUUUGCCAAGAAUGUUUUCAUUAA